UCACGUUGCGGUCACGCAACUGUUAUUCUUCCACAAAAAGGUGAGCGAAUCAAUUAAAGCAACUUCUUACGUAAAUAGUUCCAACUUUAGUCAUAACAAAAUUAGUUUGUGUGCAAUAUUAAGUAUAAAUUGCGACGUUCACCGAGUAGCUUGAGCUUCUUCUCGUUUCAAGAAAAUGGCACUCAAAUUAUUCCAUAUUGUAAUUUUUACAAUACUGAUUUUUUUUCUAAUUUUGCAGCCUGCUGAAGCGGAAAAUUUUUUUAAAAAAGCUGUUAGAAAAAUUGGCGACUGGUUCAAGGGGGUAUACAAAGAUGCUAAACACUAUUUUGGAUAACAAACCAAGUUGCACGAAGCCGAAAUGGAAUGUGAACCCAUAGAUAUAUCAAAUAAGCUAUGUGUAUUCACAAUGGUGUAAUAAGUUGUUUUAUUCAUUUGGUUUUAAAAAAUUCAGUGGAAUUGUGGUAAAAGUAUUUAUAAUUGGAAUAAAAACGUCCCUGAAAGAACAGCAUUAAA